UUCCCCAGAAAUGGGCAAAGGGAUACCUUGCUGGUUGUGCUGUUCUUACAUCAGUCAGGGCAGAGCAGACGGCAGCCCUUUGCUCAUCCUAGCUUGAUGCCUGGCUUGGUGGCCAAAGCUGUUUUAUGCCUAGGAAACAUAA